UGCUGGAGGUAUCAGAAGUGCGAAUGCUGACAUAAGUAACGAUAAAGCGGGUGAAAAGCCCGCUCGCCGGAAGACCAAGGGUUCCUGUCCAACGUUAAUCGGGGCAGGGUGAGUCGACCCCUAAGGCGAGGCCGAAAGGCGUAGUCGAUGGGAAACAGGUUAAUAUUCCUGUACUUGGUGUUACUGCGAAGGGGGGACGGAGAAGGCUAUGUUGGCCGGGCGACGGUUGUCCCGGUUUAAGCGUGUAGGCUGGUUUUCCAGGCAAAUCCGGAAAACCAAGGCUGAGGCGUGAUGACGAGGCACUACGGUGCUGAAGC
rnacentral:rRNA from 1 species